rnacentral:lncRNA from 10 species
CAGGAUGUACUUUCAUUUGGGUCUUUCAAAAUUCAUUUUGCUUCGAGGUAGUGGGUGCUUUCAAUCAUUUUAUUCAGGCUUCUGAGAAGCUCUGAGACAAAUUUAUGAUCCAUCACUGGUACACAAAUACCAUGUGUUACAACUGCCUACAGUAUUCAGUAAAAUAAUAUGCUGUGUAAGUUGAGGCUAUACCAUAUCGCUUAAGUGUGUAAUAGUCUACAGCAUCCACAUUUGGAAAUAUUAUACAAGCUGGAGCUGAGGCCUGACUGCAGUUGCACUGCCGCGAUAACUCCCAGUGUUGGAUCAAUGGCUGGCAAGAUUCCACCGUCAAAGGAGCUCCAAGCAGCGAGGCAAGAGGCCCCAGUGCACUGUUCUCUCCUGGAGCCUCGAAGAAGGAAAGAAUAGGAGAAGAAGGUCCUGGAAGUGGCUUCCCUAGGUACAACUUCAAAUUGAACAUAUCGUGGCUGCUCAAAAUGAGAAAGAAACAUUCAACAAUAUACAAGCUGCAAUGUUGUCAUACAAAUGACCAAGAAAACAUUUAAUUUGGAGGAAAAAAGAGCUUAAGAAUGGGUGUGUGUGUGUGUGUGUGAGAGAGAGAGAGAGAGAGAGAGAAGGUACUACAAUACAUCACAGCAUGUGAUCCUUAUCUUGGCUCCGGAGUGGAGGAGAGAGAAGGACUAUGAAGACCCUUAGAGCAAAAAAGUUUUGCCCACCAUGCUGCUUGAGGCACACAGAAGAACCAAGCUAACUUCUAAUUAAGUAAGGUCUCCAAAGUUACUAAUGGAUUCAGUUCAAUGGCUCCAUUUGAACCCACAAACUUACAAUGUAUUUCUUUCCUCAUAAACUCUGUCACUAUCAUCAUUCUGUACCUACCUUCUGGUCUCCUAAGCUGCCUCCUGAUAUUCAUAAUUCCCUCCUCAUGGUCACCUUGAAGACAUAAUGGCCAAGCCUCCUCUGCUUUUGGUGUGCCUUGGAGAUAGCUGGAGUCCCCUUGCCUACAAAGUUGCUGGGGGCAAGACUUGCAGUGACCACUGUGUGUCCCCCCAUCCUUGAACCCAUCCCUUGGGCUCCUCCUGAGAUCGUGCUCAAGCUGAUGGGGAGCUCUGAGAAGAAACCAUCCCACCAGAGUGGCCUCACAUGUGCACACAUCCUGGAUGUUUCUGUAUGUCAGUUUCCUUCUCCUUCCUCCAGAGCUCUUUGGAUGUUGGAGUGAGGACUAACAAUGAAAGACUGUCUUGCCCCACCCAGUCCUAUUUUCAAUUCAUUUCCUGAGCUUACAUGCCAUUUCCACCAACCAGCCACUCAGCAUCCACAAAUGGCUACCUCUGUGUCCUACUCUGGGUUGGGCCUUGUCUGUCCUGUUUUCUGUAGAAUCUCCAGCACUAGAAGAACACCGAGCACAAGGCAAGACACUCAAUAAAGAAAACAGACUCUCCUACAGGUCAGCCGCUGCAUGUCCACCCGAGACUGCUAAAGGUCACACUCCUGCACUCUCUUUCCUUUUCUGGAAAAUGACCUUGAAACCGUAAUGAGCCUGGAGGAAGCCAACCAGACAGGAAAUAAACCCGCUUGGGUGCGUGUGCUUGUGGAAGAGUUUUGGAAGACCUUCCAUCCCCUGGGAAAACACUUGUUUGAUACAGUCAUGGCCAGCUAUUAUUCGUGAUCUCAUUGGUGGGAAGGCUGGUGGGGAUUGAUUUCAAAAUGAACUUUAAGCUAAGAGGGCAGCUAGGAGGUGGCUCUGAGAGGCUCUGUUGACAGGGGCCAGUGGUGAUGUCAGAGGAGCUCGGGUCAGGAAUUCUGGGGCAAGGGCAGAGUUGAUGAACCUUAUUUUUAGAUGGUGUUGAUAUUUUUAGUGAAAGUCCAACAGCCUCUCCAUUUUUGGUUGGGGGGAUAGAGGGAGAAGGGAUGACUUCCUGGAGUUAGUCAUUUCCUCUGCUGGUGAAGAGAUUUGGCGGUGCUCCUAUGUCAUAGGAAGUGCCUGGAGAUGGUAAACACUGCUGACAUAAUGGGAACUUACACCAUGGGUGUGUCAGAGCACACAUAUUCCUUCCUGGACCCUGGGCCAGGUGAGUGGGGGAUGCUUCCUGUUUUUGGCUCUAGGAGGAUUUUCAACUUCUGGGAGCUGCUCUGGAGAAUAAAUCACAAGAACUGCUGGGCUAAGCAGCUGAGGCCACAGACAUCAGAAAGUGAUUCGGUGGCAAGAAUUGUGGAAUGUGCCCUGGCAGUUCCCAGAACUGCCGAGUCAUCUUAUCCUCUCUGAGGUGUAUAUGGGGCCAAGUGGGUUUGGUUCCAAUACCAUAAAGCGAUCCUCAUCUGAAAUUUGCUCGCUUGCCAGAGAUGCCCUUAGUGCCUGGAUCUCAUCCAUGACUAAAUUCAUUCAGCAGAGCCUCCUGAUUGCGCCUCUGAAAUCUCCUAUGAGUCUGGUUCCUGCACUGUACCUCUCCAGAUGUCCGUCACCUCUUGUAUGGAUUAGUAGAUCACCCGCUCUCCCUGACAAUGAUCUCUUCCAUGUGGGCCCUCCUCCACACUGCUGGUAGUAGGCGCGGUCUUGGAAAACACAUAGCAACCUUGUCACCGUUCCCCUUCUCCCUUGUCCAUAGUAGAUAUUGCUAAUCGCUCACGGCACUUUAACUACUAAGCCCAGACAUAGGUGACCACCCAGUCUUUCUUAACAUUAUCCUUCAGCUCUCAUGACUAAUCACUUGGAAAUGGCAUUUGACAUAAAGUCAAUUUGCUAUCUUGGUGCUCGUGUUAUCUUCCUAAAAACGAAAUCCAAUUGUGGCUUUUCUCUGAUGUGAGACUUCCUGUCUUCCUAGUGCCUUCAAAAUGAAUGCCAACUGCUUGGCAGGUGCCUAGGAACUAAAGCAUCUCACCUCUCCUUCCUGUGCGGCCUCAUCUUCUCACCUCUCCUUUCCCAACUUCCACUUUUUCCCUAUGCAUGCCUUGGGGAAUGUCACACUCUUUCCCAGAUACACUUUGCUUUUCUGUGACUCCUGGGUUUGUAUGGGGUGUUCUUGCUUUCUGGAUUUUCCUCUUUCCUUUUUCCUAGCCAUAAACUCUCAUUUUUUCAAACUCUCCAUAUUUCUCUUCUGCUGUAUUUCCAAGAUCUCACUAGGCAAAGUCAGGCACCUUUUCUGUGUUCUCUUGGGCUUCUGUUUUUGCCUCUGUUAAAGCAUUGUUAUUGUAAUAUGUUCUCAUGCUGUAUAUAUGUUACAAUAUAUUGUGGUUAUUACAUGAAUUAUAUGCAUUAUAAUUAUGGUCAUGCAUUUGCUUACUUAUUCAACACAUUUAUUGACUGCCUUCUAUGUGUUGUGUUACUAAUAGGUAAAUUAAUACGUGGAAUAAAUGUUUAAUGAACAUGUUUUUGACUAAACAAAUAAAUGAUAUUUCCUUGCUCAUCGAAGAUGCCAUUAGCCCUUGUAUUUCUAAAGUAGCUUCUUCAAAACCACAGGAGUCUGUGAGUGAAAGUCUUUCCUCAAUUAUUAUAAAAACCUGUGAAAAUAAACAGGUUUAAAACUUAUUUUUACCAACAUCAACCAAGAUAAAUAAUUUUACAUGAGUG